UUCCAUAAUGUUUUUGGGCUUAGCAACUUCUCUGAGAAGUGAGCCGGUAGGGCAGGACCAAGCUGUCUCGGGACUAAAACUUGAAGGUGAAGAUAACAAGAGGUCUCCCUGCAGUGGGUACCAGAGAGCUGGGGAAAGAAAGCCCCGUCCUGCCUAUGGCUGGCUUCCUGCAGAAUCCCCUCGGCCAGCCCUGGCCUAUCAAAACCCUGGACAGUGACACCAAUGUCCUUACAAUGUCCGGGACUUUAAGUUCCUUAUGUAGACCCUUAGGAAACAUGAUAGAAAAGCUCAGUCAAAAUAACCAGUUGCUAUAGGGCCCACAGACGUCCACAGGGGGGAAGAGUGUUCAAGCAUCUCUUUGAAGAAGUUAAGAAACCAACAAAGAGGGCGGCUGGCUGGCUCAGUCGGAAGAGCAUGUGACUCUUGAUCUUGGGGUCAUGAGUUCAAGUCCCACGUUAGGUGUAGAGAUUACUAAAAAUCAUAGUAAUAAUAACCACAAACGUAACAAGCAAGCAAGCAGGCAAACAAGCAAAUGCUGUACUUUUCUGGGGAGUUUUCAAGAAGCUAAGAUUAAUGGGAACUAAUCACCUUGCCCUGCCCUUGAGUGGUGAAGCCUGUCCCGUACGUUUACUAGCUCUGCAACUUUGGGCUGUUCCCUUCCUGGCGUGAGGGGUGGUGCAAAUGUCUGUGUUCAGACUUUGCUUUUCAGAGAGGCCUUCUCUGCAGUGAUUGUAAAGGAGACGGGGUUUUGAUGUGCCGCUGGCUGGUUGGGGCCUGGCCUCCCUGGUCCCCAGGCCCGUAGCCUCCCUGGUGGGGCCCCUGCUGGCAGGGGUGAGGAUGGAGGGGGAGGAGGAGAGAUGGUUUCUGCGUGUCUGUGCUAGUUCCCGUGGCUGUCCGGCAAGCUGUCACCAACUCGGUGGCUUCAAACCACAGAAAUGGAUUCUUUCGCCGUUCUGGAGGCUGGAAGUUGGAAAUCAAGGACAUUUGGCAAUCCCACUGGUAACCUGGGAUGAUGUCGUGUCAGGAUCCUUCCCUUAGUUACAUCUGCAAAGAAGAGAAAACCAAGGCCGCAGAGGUGUGGUAACUUGUCUAAGUUCGCACCAUCAGGAAGUGGCUGGACUUGGAUGGAAAGGUAGGGCUUCAUCACCCAGGCCAGAGGGAAGGGGAUGGCACGUGGAAGGUGUUGGGGGACGAUGCAGACUGGCCCGGGGAGGGGCUGUGAGCAGUUCUGCAUCACUGGAAAGGUGAGUGUGUGUGGUCGGAUGCUGGGAGA